GAGGGUAUAGCUCAGUGGUAGAGUGUCUGCUUAGCAUGCACGAGGUCCUAGGUUCAAUCCUCAGUACUUCCA
rnacentral:tRNA from 1 species